GGAGGUAGGUGACAAUAAAUCACAAUGCGGGACUAUCAGUCUUGCAAUUGGAUUGAGAACAAUGUACAACUCUUAUCGAUAAGCCAUUGGAGGGCAAGUCUGGUGCCAGCAGCCGCGGUAAUUCCAGCUCCAAUAGCGUAUAUUAACGUUGUUGCAGUUAAAAAGCUCGUAGUUGAAGUGUGGGUGAUCGCUGUUGUGAGACUUCGGUCUCUCGACAGUAAGUCACCCCCUUCCAGUAUCCAGUAGUGGGUAUUCACUUACUUACUAUUGUGUGUUGGUCGUUUACUGUGAGAAAAUUAGAGUGUUCAAAGCAGGCGUUUGCUUGAAUAGAUUAGCAUGGAAUAAUAAUUGAAGGCUUUCGUGUUCGAUUUGAUUGGUUUGUUCAUGGAAGCAAGGUUAAAAGGAACAGUUGGGGGUAUUCAUAUUCACUAGUUAGAGGUGAAAUUCUCGGAUUUAUGGAAGAUGAACAAG
rnacentral:rRNA from 1 species